AUAAGCGGAGGAAAAGAAACUAACAAGGAUUCCCCUAGUAACGGCGAGUGAAGCGGGAUGAGCUCAAAUUUGAAAGCUGGCCUCACGGUCCGCAUUGUAAUUUCGAGAGAUGUUUUCCGCGUUGGACCACGUACAAGUCUCCUGGAAAGGAGUGUCAUAGAGGGUGAUAACCCCGUACUUGAUGUGGACGCCCAAGGCUUUGUGAUACAUCUUCGACGAGUCGAGUUGUUUGGGAAUGCAGCUCCAAAUGGGUGGUAAAUUCCAUCUAAAGCUAAAUAUUGGGGAGAGACCGAUAGCGAACAAGUACCGUGAGGGAAAGAUGAAAAGCACUUUGGAAAGAGAGUUAAACAGUACGUGAAAUUGUCAAAAGGGAAGCACUGGAGGUUAGACGUGUGCGGUUGGAUUCAGCUUUUUUUAAAAGUGUAUUUCCAGUCGUACAGGCCAGCAUCGGUUUUCUGGGCCGGAUAAGGGCAGGAGGAAUGUAGCUUUCUUCGGAAAGUGUUAUAGCCUCUUGCUUGAUACGGCUUGGGGGACCGAGGCAUGCAGCGCGCCUUUUUGGCGGACCUUCGGGUACCUUCGCGCUUAGGAUGCUGGCGUAAUGGCCUUCAGUGACCCGUCUUGAAACACGGACCAAGGAGUCUAACAUGUCUGCGAGUCUUUGGGUGGCAAACCCGUGGGCGCCAUGAAAGUGAAUGCAAG
rnacentral:rRNA from 1 species